GCCUGGGUGGCUCAGUCGGUUGAGCGUCCGACUUCGGCUCGGGUCAUGAUCUCAUGGUUUGUGGGUUCGAGCCCCGCAUCGGGCU
rnacentral:tRNA from 1 species